UGAAUGGCUGCAAAUGGAAAAAGGGCGGGCCGAAUAUUUCCUUUGGAGAAUAGAGCAUGACAGCUGUAAACCCAAAUAAGUACGUAGGUGCCGCAGGUUUUAUCAGGGUGUCAUCACCGUUGACCGGCUCCAGGUUCACCGGAGAGGAGGAGCAGAGACGGACGCACACGCGCAAAAGGUGCGAGCGGCCCAUUUGAACCGGAUCGCCAUCGUUGGAGGGCACUCCCUCGAAAUGCAAGAGGCCUAUUGCCAAGCGACUGCGGUCUUGUCUGGUCUCAGGCCAACUACAUACGACGAAGAGAGACAUGAGCGGCCAAAAAAGAAAACUGGACCGAUAGAAUCGUCACCGGCCACAAAUACUUGGAAGGGGGACUUAAUUCUUGCAUGUUUGAAGUUGUUGUGCACCUGUAGCGGUGGUCAGAGCUCUAGUUGAGUGCUGCGUGGGCAAUGUGUUUAAACUUUCAUUAUGGGUUUAGCUCCCUGAUAGCAAGUCUGUUUUACACACACCAGAGGUCAAGAGUUCAAGUCCACUCUGUGACACAUGAUUAGGCAGCUUUUUUUCUGAAAAGGAGCAUUACUAAAUGCAUUUGAAUAUGAGAAACAGAGAUGUUGGUAAAAUAAACUUUGAUUGCCGUCA